rnacentral:rRNA from 1 species
UACGUAGGGUGCAAGCGUUGUCCGGAAUUAUUGGGCGUAAAGAGCUCGUAGGCGGUCUGUUGCGUCGGCUGUGAAAACCCGGGGCUCAACCCCGGGCCUGCAGCCGAUACGGGCAGACUAGAGUUCGGCAGGGGAGACUGGAAUUCCUGGUGUAGCGGUGAAAUGCGCAGAUAUCAGGAGGAACACCAAUGGCGAAGGCAGCACUCUGGGACGUGACUGACGCUGAGACGCGAAAGCGUGGGGAGCAAACAGG